AUGUGUAUUUUGCAACAAUUCAAUAUUUUAAAAAACUCUGAAGUCCCCAUGUUACUGAGGAUGGGAAAGAGCUAUUCUGUCUAUAUUAUAUAUUGGUGAUAUUGGCGACAUUGACCAGAAUAUUCUCUCACAUGGAAAACCUCCAGUUUUCUGAGAUAGAAGCAGAGUUUAAAUUCUGGACAUCUGCUUUUAAGUGGGAGAGGUUUCUGACUCCUUACAAACUUUCUUUUAGGGAAUGACUGGCCAAGAUGAGAUCCAGCCAUAUGUCCAUUGCCUCCUGGGUCGGCUACUUGGUGGUGAGUCCUUUCCAGGCCCUGUGCAGGGGCAGUGACCACGCAGGUGCUGAGGAGCCCAGGCAGCAGGGUGGUACCACAGGGACACUUGCCUGGAGAAAGCAUAGGAUGCUAUUGCCUGGAGUUGGCAGAAGGUGCGGAGCAGGCGGACAGCAAGGGGGCGCUCAGAAUCAUCCUGACCAGACCAAGCAGCGUGGAGGCCAUGGUGGGACACCAGAGGGAGAACGAGACCCCAGGUGAUGUUCAUCCGGACCAGACCAAGCAGCAUGGAGGCCAUGAUGGGACACCUGUGGGAGAGGGUGACCUCAGAUGAGGUUAAUCAGGACCAGUCUUGUGGGGACUGCCUGACCAGAUCAAGCAGCGUGGAGGCCACGGUGGGACACCUGAGGGACAAUGCGACCCCAGAUGAUGUUCAUCAGGACAUCACCCCUCUGCAAGGGUGAGGGACCUGGCAGGAUGGAGGAAAAGCCAGAGAGGAGAGUUCACCCCUGGGAAGGAGGAGAGUCCUGGGGGCUGUGGAAUGAGGGGUGUGGGUCCCCGUGAAGGAGAAGAUGACUUCUCACACCCUACCUCCUUUCUUAGACUUAAGGAGCGAUGCCUU